UUACCUAAAAAAAAUCAUAAAACAAAAUAACAUAGCUAGGCUACCCUAAAGCGAAUAUUUCUUUCAAUUUCCCCCAACCUAAAGAACUGCGGCACAACUAGGGUUCACAAUAUUUCUUUCAAUUUCACAUAUUUCCAAUUUCUUUUUCACCAUUUCACAACCUGAAGAACUCCGACAGACUUUUUUCGACGGUAAAGCGGCUAUUACACCAAUGUUCUGUGAAGAAUGUUCUGUAAAUGGGUUUUGUACUUUUUUUCCCUUCAAUUUAUGUUGUUUUAAGUAUUUCAUCUUGUCUAUAAAUACAUGCUUGCUUUACCAUAUGAUUAGGGUUGUAAAAUUUUUUGUAGCAGAUAUAGUUAUAGUCAUAACAGUUGGUGGCUAGUGGCAAUAGUGUAAGUCUCUAAUCGUAAGCUGUAAAGGUUUUCAGAAUUUUUUCACAACUAGAAGGUUAAGUUGAUUAUUGGUAUUUUUUGUGCUUCUUACUUUACUCUUACAUGAUGAAUAUAUGUAGUGUUGCAUCCGAGAAGUACAAACACACCCUCCAUUUCAAUUUAUGUGACCUGUUUUUGAGUUUGCUUCAAAGAAUGCUCAUUUUUAAAUUAUGUCAGCAUAUUGGGGGUAUCAUGCUAUUUGGACUUCCUUCAUUUAAUUGGAAGCAUAUUUAGCUUGAUGAAUGAUUUAGAGAUGGAUAGUAGAACACAUUAAAUGUGAUUGCAACCUUCCAUUGAUGUCCAACCAGGGCAGACCUUAUUUAUGAACGAAAACUUAAGAAAAAAUUAUUUGGGUUUGUUUAAAGGUGCUUAAAUUUACAUCUUGAGCAGACGUGCUUUAGUACGACAACCUAAUUGGUAAAUAUAGGAUGUCGUUACAUUUCUUACUGUGGAGAAUCAAAACUAUACGUCUGUAUCUGUUUGUUGUUUCUCUGGAAUAGACUAUAAGUUGGGGCUGACCUGAUAGGCUUUCGUUCUUCAAAAUCAUCGUAGAGGAUUAGUAGAUAUUUCUUUUUUCCAUGUUUCUCAUAAAUGAUGACUUGGUGAAGUUACAACAAUAUAUCUAGUAUAGUCUCAUAAAGUGGGGUCUGGGGAGGGUAGACUUUACACAGACCUUACCCUACCUUAGAGUUAGAGAGAGGUUGUUUCAGAUAGACCCUCGGCUGAAGUAAAAAUCCAAAGCAGUCCCAAAAGGAGUAAUGGAAGUACAAGUAACAACAGAUAAUAAUGAAAAUAACUGAUCGAAACAAAAUAUAAAAUACAACAAAACAAUACGAUAAUCGUUGUACAAAAAAUAAUAGGCUGUAAAAAAAUGCAUAUACUUCGGUGUUUUAACUACCAUUAGUCCAAAAGGUAUCUCAUCUUUAUUUUUCAUGAUGUGCAUAUUGUUUGGUAGAAUUUUUACAUCCAUGAAAAUCAUGAGUUAGUCGUUCACCUUCACUUAUUUUCACGAGUUUGCAAUAAGUUGGUAUGAUUUCCUCGUGAACACCCUUCUUGCUUGAUUUUCAAAUAGCGAAAGCAUUAUCAUGAACUACUAAUCUUAAUUACGCUAUUAAUUUCAUGAUGUUGUUCAUGGAUUCAGCAAUAUUUGGCCUUAUUUCUUAUAAGCACACUGUUACUUAAAUUGCCAAAAAAGUAUUCUGACGGGUAAUAACAUGAAUGUGGAUAAAUAACAUCGUCUCAUAAUGGAAUUGAGUUGUUUGUAAAUUAUUAAUUACGUCUCAAGAUUUAAAUGAAAUUUUAGAUGUUUUCUUCAGUUUAAAAGAAAAAAAAGAACAUAUGUUUAUAACGUCGCUUGCUGAAUUUACUACGUAUUAAUUAUUUGUGACUUGUAAACAUGCUGAGAAUCAUAACAAAUUUUUCUUAGUUAUAUCAGAGAUAUUCUUCCUUAGGGGUCUCCAUCAACAUGUCACGAAGCUCCAGUCUGAACUAAGGGGACAGUUGGAGUUUUGAGGGAAACAUCAUGAAGUCUGAUCAGGUUUGUCCAGAUUUAUCUGGUAGUAAUAACUAAUAACUUUCAUAAUAACGUUAAUUGUUUGUAAAGCUACACCUGACAACUGUGAUCAAAAUUUAGCAUUACAAUACAUCUUACAAGUGAUGAUUAGUUACUCCGCAGGUACUUAUUUCACAUCGCAUUCAUGGAUCUCUCCAGUUAUACCUCUAUUUAUUAUCUAUUGAAAGGAAAAAAAAUGUAGAGCUAUCUUAGAACAGUGUUUUAUGACUGUGUAUCGUCUCUCCUUGGUAUGGGUGUUACUGACUUCUUAUGAGGACCACGGUCUUCUUGGACUUGGAUGUUGUAUGUGGGUGAGCGAGGUCUCAGCAUUUGUCUCCUUAUUUGGUGAAAUGGUUCCAUUUCUCAAACGUGGGCAUAGUGUUCUGUUCUCAUCACUCUUAUUAUUUGUUUGUCAUGUCAUUGUCAUAUCAAGGAGUGGAAAAGAAAAGAGAUCACAUUCAUCUUCAACUGUUGUUUCUGGUCACUCACAUUAACUGGUUCACUAACAUCUUUUUAGGGCUAAGGACUUUCGGAACAAAUUGCUUCACAUAUUAUGGUACUCUGGUACAAUCUCUUUUUGCUUAAUUUUCUGUGUUUUUUACUUCUGGUUAACGAUCAGAUGGCCGGAACAACUGUACUUGGCAUAUUUUACUUUAGGAUGAGUGAGCAAAGAGUAUAAUGUAAGUGGGGUGCUUAUAGUUCAGUUGUAUUUCUGUAUCAUUAGUGGAACUUUCUUAUGGCUGAUCGUGACAUGAGGCCAAAAAUGGUCAUCUUUCAUGAGCAAAAUAGUUGGCUAUUUUGCUUUAUUCUUCAAGGUUUAUCUGUUAUAUUCUUGACUUUCUAUUCAUUUAUGCCAUUUAAGUGAUUGGUCCUAGUUUGUUCCUUCUUUCUUUCCAAAAGGUUAUUUUUUACCAGCAUACAACAUAGUUGGUUGUCGCCAGCUGUUGCUUCAUUCUUCAAGUAGGCUACAAUUUUGUUCAAUUACAGCUGAAAUGUCACACAUGAGUUCCUUUGUUAGAUCAUUAUAACUUGAGCUCCUCUAGGGUUUAUUCUCAAUUGCUAUUGUACGGGAGUAAAGAUUGAAGCAUACCGUUAAGAUUUUGCCAGAAAUUAGUGCGGAAUUGGGUUUUCAUCAGAAAUUAGAUUGAGGUAAGCUCUGACUAAUAGAAGUACAUGGAACAAUAGAGAAAACAAAUAGCAAAUAGGUUACAGAAUGAAAAAUAUAACAAAAUAAUAGAAUAAUCGAGGUACAGUAAAAACAAAAGUAAAAAUAAAAAACAACAACAACAACAACAAACUCAGUAUAUUUCCACAUAGUGGGGUCUGGGGAGGGUAGAGUGUAUGCAGUCCAUACCACUACCUCAAAAGAGGUAGAGAGGCUGUUUCCAAUAGAACCCCGGCUUAAGAUAAGAGGCAGUAUACCGAAGCAUGCAAGGCAUAGAACAGGAUAAAAUAACACAGGUACGACAUCCACAAAAAAAAAAAAUUGCAAUGUCAAACCAAGGACACCAAAAUCCACCUAAUUACUGACUACGACUCAUACACACCCUUAUCCCUCUAUCCUAAUGCUUUUCCACCAUACCUUUCUAUGCAGGGUCAUGUCCUCGGUCAACUACAACAGCUCUAUGUCACGUCUAAUCACUUUUCUCCAGUAUUUCUUUAGUCUACCCCUGCCCCGCUUGAAACCAUCCAUGGCCAAACUCUCACACCUACAAACUGGGGCAUUCGUUCCCCUUCUCAUCACAUGACCAAACCAUCUCAACCUCACUUUCCGCAUUUUAUCCUCCAUUGACACCACUCCCUCCUUCUUUCAAAUAAUUUCAUUCCUAACCCUGUCAGCCCUCGUGAAUCCACACAUCUAGUGCAACAUCCUCAUUUCCGCCACCUUUAACUUUUGGAUAUGAGAAUUCUUAACCGGCCAACACUCCGCUCCAUACAACAUAGCAGACCGGACUGCAACUCUGUAGAAUUUGCCUUUCAGCUAAAUUCUAAAGAAUGGUCCUACUCAAUGUACCUUCUUUGUCAAAGAUAUUAGGUUCCUCACAUGAAAGGAAUUAUGCAAUGUAACUUGGUUUUGCCUCUACCAUUUUGUUGUAUUCUUUCUUUCUUUAUGAGGUUUGUUCAUCAUAAAACUGAGUUGCAGAUGGAAACUUGUAGAGAUUGAUGUUGAUUUGCUGAAGCUGAGCUCUGAAAUGAAGCUUGUUAUGUCACUAAUAAAUCCUGCAAGUACCUAUAUGGAUCUGAAUAUUGGUAUUACUCUGUGGUUGGAUGCUGGUGGUGACGGUUGUUUGCAAGAUGAAACAGGCAGCGAUGAUACUUUUGACCAUGCCAAGUAGAAAUCUCCGGCUCGGAUUCUCCUAGUUGGUGCUGGAGCAGAUGAACAAUGUGCUGGAUAUGGUCGACAUAAGACAAAAUAUAGAAACGGAAGGUGAAGUCUUCCUGUGUAUGAAAUUUUCCCAUCAUCCGCCGUCUAAAAUAUAAAACUGUAUAGAGUGUGGCGUUUAUUGAUAAUGUGCCAACAUUUUUUUUAUGUUUAAUACAUUCCCAUUGACUCAUUUUUAUGAUAUCCACUCCUCAAAAGUACUUGGAGCAACUAGCACUGGGAUGCAUUCACCUCAAGGUGAGUCUGACAUGGCACCUCCAACUUCUGCCCUAUUAUCUGGUGCUCCUGCUAUUUCAUGUACUAGCUUGAUUUAUUUUUAUAUCGACAAUAUUUUGCUAACUGUACUUUUUUCUACUUUGGAUCAACUGUGGAAUGUUCUUACCAAAAUGUAUGGUUUCAUUUUUCUAUGUCACUAGAUUGACUGUUCACAUUCUAUUAUAGUUGUUUACUUGGUAAAAUAACUCACAAUAUAAUUGUUCUUGCUUGAACUGAGAUAUCCUCCUAUAAUAGCAGAGUGAACUGAACCGAGAUAUCCUCCUAUUUAUUAACCAGGUCGGUUGUCUUUAUUAGUUUUCUGCAGUGAACUGAGAUAUCCUCCUAUAAUACACUGAACUGAGAUAUCCACCCUUGUAUUUAUUCUGCAAUCUAUACUGUCGUGCAGCCCCGAGAGAGUAAGCAUUUUGUUGAGUACACUACUGGUAGUAGUCCUGAAAUUCCUGAAAAAACCAUUCCUAACUUGUUUAUUCUUCUGUUUUCCAUUAUUACUCAAUGUAUACACUACUAGUAGUAGUCCUGAAAUUCUUGAAAACCCAUUCCUAACUUGUUCAUUCUUCUAUUUUCCAUUAUUACUCAAUGUAUACACUACUAGAAGUAGUCCUGAAAUUCCUUGGUCUGCAACACAACAACAAAUUCCAGAAUAGGAACUGCAGAUUUCCUUGUCCAUUAAAUAACAGAUUCCUUCACCUGAUGCAAGUAAUGCACAAGCUAUAAGAGGAAAAAUUCUUUCAAAUUCUUUCAACUCAACUCAUGCUUCGGUUCAUGUAAAGGAACAAUGCUGGGGAUCAAAUUUGAAUGGUGGGUGUCACAACUCAACUUGAUCUAGAUUGAAGUGAAUGAUGAAGAAUUUUUAAAAUAUUUUGAUAUACGUUUAUAUAUAUUUGUUUUUGUGUGGAACUUGGUACAAAUUCUUAUUAUAUAUAUAAAUAUGUAUGUUUAUG